rnacentral:rRNA from 1 species
GAUGAACGCUGGCGGCGUGCCUAAUACAUGCAAGUCGAGCGAACAGACGAGGAGCUUGCUCCUCUGACGUUAGCGGCGGACGGGUGAGUAACACGUGGAUAACCUACCUAUAAGACUGGGAUAACUUCGGGAAACCGGAGCUAAUACCGGAUAAUAUAUUGAACCGCAUGGUUCAAUAGUGAAAGACGGUUUUGCUGUCACUUAUAGAUGGAUCCGCGCCGCAUUAGCUAGUUGGUAAGGUAACGGCUUACCAAGGCGACGAUGCGUAGCCGACCUGAGAGGGUGAUCGGCCACACUGCAACUGAGACACGGUCCAGACUCCUACGGGAGGCAGCAGUAGGGAAUCUUCCGCAAUGGGCGAAAGCCUGACGGAGCAACGCCGCGUGAGUGAUGAAGGUCUUCGGAUCGUAAAACUCUGUUAUUAGGGAAGAACAAAUGUGUAAGUAACUAUGCACGUCUUGACGGUACCUAAUCAGAAAGCCACGGCUAACUACGUG